AUAAACCAGGAUUAGAUACCCUAUUAUAUUUAAACAAAUUAGGUAGUAUUAUUAAUAAAAACCUUUAUACUUUGGCGGCAUUUUAUCUUAUUAGAGGAAUAUGUUCAUUAAUCGAAACCACACGAUAGUUUUUACUUACUAUAAAAUUUUAUAUACCCCCGUCUAAAGAAUUUAUUUAAAAUUUUUAUUCCAAAUUAUAUUAAAAAAAGUUAGGUAAAGGUGUAGACUAUUAGUAAGAUUAAAUGUAUUACAUUAAAAAAAAUUUAAGGAUAAAACAGUUAACUGUUUAUUAAAAGAGGAUUUAUAAGUAAUUUACUUUUAAUAAAAAUUAAUGAAUAAGAAAAUAAAUGUGCACAUAUCGCCCGUCACUCU
rnacentral:rRNA from 1 species